GAUGAACGCUGGCGGCGUGCCUAAUACAUGCAAGUCGAGCGAACAGAUAAGGAGCUUGCUCCUUUGACGUUAGCGGCGGACGGGUGAGUAACACGUGGGUAACCUACCUAUAAGACUGGAAUAACUCCGGGAAACCGGGGCUAAUGCCGGAUAACAUUUAGAACCGCAUGGUUCUAAAGUGAAAGAUGGUUUUGCUAUCACUUAUAGAUGGACCCGCGCCGUAUUAGCUAGUUGGUAAGGUAACGGCUUACCAAGGCAACGAUACGUAGCCGACCUGAGAGGGUGAUCGGCCACACUGGAACUGAGACACGGUCCAGACUCCUACGGGAGGCAGCAGUAGGGAAUCUUCCGCAAUGGGCGAAGGCCUGACGGAGCAACGCCGCGUGAGUGAUGAAGGUCUUCGGAUCGUAAAACUCUGUUAUUAGGGAAGAACAAAUGUGUAAGUAACUGUGCACGUCUUGACGGUACCUAAUCAGAAAGCCACGGCUAACUACGUG
rnacentral:rRNA from 1 species